GGGGGUGUACCGGAUUCGACUGGUGGAUUGCACAGCCGUUGGUUGCAGGUGGAGCUGUCACAACUCCAUAAAAGGGGCACUCAAACAACUGCAGACAAUAACAAUGCAGAAUUUGCAAUGGCUGCGUAAUUAGCGGCCGCGGGCCUUGUUCACGCUGUUCCGAGGGAACUCUGGCCUGAAAGAAACCGGGACUUGCCCGGCCCUUCGUCCGACGGGGGCUCGGGGACACUAAGUCGGACUCAGGGGGAAGCUGGCCGGUUCCGGCGCCAAUCUUUCCCCGAAACAACAAGCCGGGACUAAACCUGUAGACGCCUUCGGGGUGCCCAUUAGGACAGGGGUUCGACUCCCCUCACCUCCAUUU
rnacentral:tmRNA from 1 species